UAAAGUUUGACUUUUUGCACACUAAUGCCUAAAAGGACUUUUUUAAACGUCUGAGAAUUUACCGUAUUUUCAUGGGACAGCCGACCGAUGUAUGUCAUUUUGCUAGACAAAAAUUACAAUACAGUGGGGCCAAAUGAUUUUCAGGCACUAGUGCGUAAUUUAAUUACGCAUUGUAAGUUUAUUUGAAAUUCUCUCUAUAAUUUGUCAAAAAAUUUGACGUUUUCUUACGGACUAAUGCGUAAUAACUAUUUAUGUAUCAAGGGCAUUGUAAGGACGAUAAUGCCCGGAAGGUGGACAUAGGAAUAGGUUUCCGCCUGAUGGGCAUUAGAGUCUAACAAUGUCCGUGGUGCAUACAAUCCUAUCCAUCUAAUCCAAUGUUUUACCUGAGAAAUUAUGUUUAUGAACAAAAAUCAUUUUAAUAUUAAUUAAAAAAUCAAGUGACUUGCAGUGAUUAUUUAAGUUUGACUUUGAUGUUUCUGUCAGUUAGUCAGUUGGCAUUUUUUGUUUAAAUAUUUGCUUAAAAUGGAAGAAAUUCUACAAAAUAUAAGAGAAAAGGCCAUAAAAGUGACCGAAAAUCUUUUGCCAGUUAAAUCAAGGCAACAGUAUGACCGGGAGUAUGGCAUAUUUGGUAUUUGGAAAGAUGCCAACGCAAUUGUUCAAAUAACCGAAACCGUUCUAAUGGCAUAUUUUCAGGAACUGUCGGAAAAAUAGAGUCCGAACUCUCUCUGGACCAAGUAUUCUACCCUAAGGUCUACGUUAAUGGUCUAUAAAAAUAUAGACAUCUCGCAAUACCAUCGUCUCAUAUCUUUUUUAAAAGUUAAGUCGAAAGGAUAUAUCCCGAAGAAAUCUAAAGUUUUGGAAGGAGAACAAAUAAUAAAAUUUAUUAAGAAGGCUCCUGAUGAUAUCUACGUGGUACACAAAGUCAUAUUGGUAAUGGGUGUUUUUGGAGGUUUAAGACGAGAUGAGUUGGUCAAAAUGACCAUUGAUGAUAUUGAAGAUAGAGGAACGGUCUUGGUUAUAAAGGUACCAGAAACUAAAACUUCAACUUCAAAAAGUUUUACUAUCGUAGCUGAAGGAUAUAUAGAAGAAGGUAUUUCAUCCAAAAAUAAAGUAGCCAAAAUGAUUGCCAAUUCAGUUAAUUCCGAGGUUAAUUCCGUAUCGACUAUUGAAAAUUCUUUAAUGGACAAUUUACAAACUAUACAAAAUAGCGUUAGUGCUGCCACCUCUACCAUCACAAAAAACACCGACCAUUCUAUAGUGGGAUCAGCUACAUCAUCCGGGACAUUUCAAAAUUGUAAUUUUUAUUUUGGAAAUAAAGUUUAAUUUUUAGUA